ensembl:lncRNA
UAGUUCUCCAAUCAGGAAUAAAACCCAUGCCCCUGCAUUGGAUAAGUGCGGAGUCUUCUUAACCACUGGACUUCCAGGGAAGUCCCUAAGGUAUUUUUAAAGGUUGAUCAAACCUUAUCCAGUCAGGUGAGUUUUUCUUCACAAACUUGCAACCGUGAGGCUCUCAUCAAUUUGCUGUGUUGGAGAUACUGACUUUACCGUAUUUCCGUGAAUGGCCUGCAUCUUACUCAAGAUCUCGGGGAAGCUGACCAUCCAAGCUGCGCUGGCCUUUUCUGUAGUUGCUGUAUUGUUUUCCUCCCGUCUUAUUUGACCCGUCGUGGCUUUUGGUUCUGGCUCUGCAGUGUCACACCUCUCCCUGUUCUUUGAUGGAGGACAGGCAUCCAGGGAAGCCCAGCGAGGGAGCUUUCAGGUGGAGGGGUGGCCAGUCCAGAAAUUCAGAAGAGACCCCUUCUUUCCGGAGUCCAGCCUCUCCUCUCUCAAGGAUUCAUUUAUUGAGUACCUGCUGUACGCUAGCCAGCAUGAAGGUCGAAUCUGAGUAUGAUAGAGGUCCCCAUUCUGAAGCUUAUGCUCCUUGGAGGUCCUUCAAGUGAACAAGUAUCCUCAACAUGCAAGGAACCUCCUGGGUAUUGACCUUAACAGACGUGGCUAUAGUGUCUAACGGAAGUCAAACAUGUCCGAUUGAUGCGCUAGCCUCCUGCACAGAGAGCAGAGCCUCUCUCUUCUGGUCCCAUAGCCCCUCUUCCUGUGGGGCGGUGGCUGAGUCCCUGGGCCUCCGGAUGCGCAAUGUUUCUCAUCUAUAAACUGAUGAAAAGGGCUACCCAGCCCUUUUCAGUCUACAGCAAGUCUGAGGAGCACAGUUUCACCCGUUCAUUCAUUCAUCCGACCAAUCCAUGGUGGAGCCUGCUGAGUACCAGCCCUGGAUCCCUUGUGAGGAAGGAGGUUGGGGGUCGGGGACUGCCAUCCGGGAACCAGGAACCCAGGAGGAAAUAGACCGACACACAAAAUGAACAAGCCACGGAACCAUUUCUCAAGGGACUCCUUCCUCCAUUCUUGGCUUCCAGCCUUUUUCCUUUCCUAAUACUAAAAUUCUUUUCUGAAACACAAAGCUGGACAUCACUGCCUUGCUCAGAAACUGGCUCCCUGUUCAAUAUAAUAAAGUCCAGUUUCUCUGUCCUGGACGUUUCUCUAUUCCGGCCGCUCCAUCAAGCUGCUUCCGGUGUUUUGAACUCAUAGCAGGUGGCCUUGGCUGGGCAUCAGGUGCACUGCCAAGUGCUUUAUCUGUUCAUCUUUGCCACAGGCCAAGAGCUCCUAUCACUACCCUCUGCUUAUCGACGGGGAAACCAAGGCAGGGAGGAGCCAAGGAACUGGCCUGAGGCUGCACAGCUUGUAAAGAGCAGGUCCCUGGAGCUCAGACCCAGGUCCCACUUACGGCAGAGCCUGUGUCCUUGGCUUCUGUGCCACGCUGCCACCUAGCUUCAGGCUUCUGCACCUCUGCUCACAUCAGGUGUGGGGGCCGUCUGGUGAAAUCUCAUCAGUUACUCACGAGGCAGCUCAGAGGUCCUGAGCACCAGACUGCCCCUCACAUCCAUGGCCCUGCUCUGCCACCCCCAGCCCUCGAAGGGCCCCUGCCUAGGUCAAGCCUUAUCACGUGUGGCGGAGUUCAUACUCAUUUGCCUCCCUGAACACGUGACCAGGAUCUCAUCCACACCUGUUGCGGCCUGAGCUAAACACAGGUUUGCUGAAUGGCAGGAAAUGAACAGCGCAGGAGAGAGUGCCCUGCACGCUGGAAAGCCUCAGAGAAUCAGAAGUCAACAGAUGCUUUUAAAAUGCCUUUAUAAAAUGCAAACGGAUAUAGGAGAUGAAAUGUGCCUGAGCAUUUUUUGGUCUUGAUUUUAGUAUUACAAUUCAGGAUGGCUUCUGCCAUUUUAACCAGGGUUCACUAUCUGGGGAAGUGCUUAUGUUACUUACUGAGAAAGAGACUUGAAACUGUCCUGACACAGACUUUGCACAAAGGCAACCUUGAGGGACUUCCACGGUGGUCCACUGGCCGGGACUCUGUGUUGCCAAUGCAGGGGAC